UAGGGAAUAUUGCUCAAUGGGGGAAACCCGUGAAGCAGCAACGCCUCGUGGAGGAUGAAGGUUUUCGGAUUGUAAACUCCUUUUGUUAGAGAAGAUAAUGACGGUAUCUAACGAAUAAGCACCGGCUAACUCCGUGCC
rnacentral:rRNA from 1 species